rnacentral:misc_RNA from 1 species
AAGUCGUAACAAGGUAACCGUAGGUGAACCUGCGGUUGGAUCAUUAUUAAAUGAUGGCUAUUCGGUGGGUUGAUCUCCCCUCGGGGAGAACCUCACCGGUAGUUAGCAACCUUCUGUGAACCAUAAUGUACUCUUGGGCCGUUGCCGAACCGCUUGGUAAGGUAUUCGACCCAAACUCAAGAAUCAACCUUUUAAACUUGACUUAUUAUUUUAUUUAUAAAAUUAAACAA